CUGGAUGAUUAAGAUGAUAUUUUUUCUAACUGAAUUAGUUUGUCCCCUAUUUCAGAAGUAACGCUUAAAAGCCUGAAUAGAAUUCCUUGGGAAAGGGUAGAUGUUAGCUUCAAGAGAAGUAGACAAUGGAUUUUUGCCCAUAGCACCAUUCAGGUAUGUUAUGAACCCCAUUACCUUGGUAAUAGUUUUCCUGGUGUUACUUAAUUAUCCCCUGGUAUAUUCUGUUGUCUCCAUACAUGUUAAUCUGAUAACAUAUACAAAGGCUGUGUAGGUAAUGGCAUAGCAGAUUUUAGUUUCAUGAUCUUACUUAAAUGUAGUUCUGGCGAUAGAUAGCUUUACACUAUCCGUCAUGUGCAUGACUGUCGAAGUACAUCAUCAUUAUGAUGUGUAUGGUUUCUCUAUUUUUAGCCCUACUGCUCCUGUCCCAUGACCAUGCCCCCACCUCUCCUUUGUUGAAUGAAGGGAGUCUGGUUGCUAAAAAGUGAGUUUUCUUAAUCAGUAUGUAUGGCCCCUCUGCACAUGCUGUUUCUUCGUAUUUAUGAGGCCCUCAAGCUUUGUCAGUUUUCUGAUAGAUAUGGAAUUUUAAUUUGAUAGUCCCAACAACGGUGGGUAUUGAUGGAGCUAUCUAUUAUUUAUUGUCAAUCUGUAAUACUUUUGUCAGCUUCUAGCAUGUCGUUGCUCUGCCAGAGUGCAAUUUUCUCUGCAUGGCAUACACCAGUUACCAUUAGUUGAUAUGUUUGUUGAAGUUUUAUUGCAAGUUAAAUAAAUGUGGUGUGGCAUACUGAUUAUUAUAGUUUGAUAAUGUCAGGCGCCGAUGGCUUUAGAUAUGUAAAUAAAAUAUGGUGAUUGUCACCGGCAUGUAGUGUGGCAUACUAAUCAAAUGACUAAGCAUUUAAUUAUUGUUCUGUUAUGUUAUUGAUUUCACCGGCUUUAUGUCGGCCGAUUAGUUCUGAAGGAUUCCACAUCGGCUAAUUUAGAUUAUGUUACUAGAGUAUUAGAAGAAGUUCCUGAUAUAUGUAUUUAGAGCAUUUGCGGAGAUUUGAUACAAAAUAUUGAUGACCAGGCAUUAUACUGCGCAUAAGCACAAUUUUUUAGUUUUUCUUUUUAUUGUUGCAGCAGCUUUUCUAUAGCAAUAGCCAAAUAGUGUGACAUAACACUAUUCCAUUUUCACAGGCCAUAACACAUCUUUACAUGUAAGUUUGUUCUCUAGAUAGUUCUCUUUCCAAGAUUUUCAUAUCAUAUUUGUUGUGGGAUCUGACUGCUUUACCAUAUUUUCCUGGUGUGGACGAUGUUAUAGAGUGAGCUACCAUCACUUCUCAUUACUGACUGUAAUCUAUGUGUUUAUGCCAUAAAAGAUGGAUAUUUGUCGAAGCCAUUGUCGUGUCAUGUAAUUACCUGGAGAUCAGCUAUUUAGUUUUGUUCAGAUUGUAAAGUGGAAAUGACAACUCCCGUGUGAUUGUCAUUUGAUUAUUUACUUCCUCAAGUAGUAUGGAUAUGGUGCUGCCAGGAUAUUAAGUAUAUUCAUGAAGUUGUAUAAACCACGUUCUACGAUUCACUUCUGUUAUGCAUUUUUACUUUCCAGUUUUAGGACUGAAAUCCAUCCAUUGUAAUGAACUUGGUUGUAUGGGCAUUUACCUAUUUGACUUAGGCUUGCUUCAUCACAUAUAGACUGCUUUUCUUUUCCCCACUGCUUGUAUGACCUAAAACUAUCAUGUAUAUGAGGCAAGUUAUUAGCAAUGUUUCACAUUUUCUUACUUGCAAUACUGUGCUUGCCUAUUUCAG
rnacentral:lncRNA from 1 species